GCGGCCUCUGUUCUAAACUUUCUACAGUUUCAACAUGGCAAACUACAGUAGAGGAAUGUUGUUGUUCCUCCUUGUCUGCCUUGUGUCUGCAGCAAUUGCAGAUCCAAUGAGAUCAACCAUUACCGGCAGCAUGGCAUCAAUACAAAUACCACCAUAGACAUUUAGCAGCGAAACAGAGGCAAGAUAGAAACAAGAACCAAAUGGAUAAUAAAACUCCUUAACUAUCAAA
rnacentral:lncRNA from 1 species